UACAGAGGUCCCGAGCGUUGUUCGGAUUCACUGGGCGUAAAGGGUGCGUAGGUGGUGAGGUAAGUCGGAUGUGAAAGCUCCAAGCUCAACUUGGAAAUGGCAUUGGAAACUACCUUGCUAGAGGGUUUGAGGGGGACUGGAAUACUUGGUGUAGCAGUGAAAUGCGUAGAUAUCAAGUGGAACACCAGUGGCGAAGGCGAGUCCCUGGAAAACUCCUGACACGUGA
rnacentral:rRNA from 1 species